rnacentral:rRNA from 1 species
UACGAAGGGGGCUAGCGUUGCUCGGAAUCACUGGGCGUAAAGGGUGCGUAGGCGGGUCUUUAAGUCAGGGGUGAAAUCCUGGAGCUCAACUCCAGAACUGCCUUUGAUACUGAAGAUCUUGAGUCCGGGAGAGGUGAGUGGAACUGCGAGUGUAGAGGUGAAAUUCGUAGAUAUUCGCAAGAACACCAGUGGCGAAGGCGGCUCACUGGCCCGGUACUGACGCUGAGGCGCGAAGGCCAGGGGAGCAAACGGG